UUGACCUCGGGAUCCAGGUAG
rnacentral:rRNA from 1 species